CGGCGAUGAUUAUAUUUUAUCCGCGCUUCUGAGAGUAAUCAAUGAAGCAUAAACGGAAACGAUGGUUGAAUUUCUUGAUAUGAGCUG